GCUGUUAUGAUAUCUUAUUAUAUUUUUAUGGCAUUCUGAACUUUGUUUGACUUAUCAUUGCAAUAGAAAACAAUAAUGAUGACACAGGAAGUUAUAAACAAGCAAUAGGAUGUCAUAACCGCUAUCGAAAAAUUAUAUAGCAAAGCAACAAGCAACAUGGAAGCAAGAAAUCUGCAUCACAUGAUAUUUCGAUCUAAAAUUAUAAUCUCAUGUUGACUAUUAUGACACUGUGUAGCCCUAGAUGAAUAAAAAAUAAACUUGUGUG
rnacentral:lncRNA from 1 species